AGAGUUUGAUCCUGGCUCAGGAUGAACGCUGGCGGCGUGCUUAACACAUGCAAGUCGAACGGGGAUAAGACAUCGGAAGAGCUGCUUGCAGAUUGGAAGAAGUCAUAUUCUAGUGGCGGACGGGUGAGUAACGCGUGGGCAACCUGCCUUAUACAGGGGGAUAACAGCUGGAAACAGCUGCUAAUACCGCAUAAGCGCACAGUACUGCAUGGUACAGUGUGAAAAACUGAGGUGGUAUAAGAUGGGCCCGCGUCUGAUUAGCUGGUUGGGAGGGUAACGGCCUACCAAGGCGACGAUCAGUAGCCGGCCUGAGAGGGCGGACGGCCACAUUGGGACUGAGACACGGCCCAGACUCCUACGGGAGGCAGCAGUGGGGAAUAUUGCACAAUGGGGGGAACCCUGAUGCAGCGACGCCGCGUGAGUGAAGAAGUAUUUCGGUACGUAAAGCUCUAUCAGCAGGGAAGAAAAAAGGACGGUACCUGAGUAAGAAGCCCCGGCUAACUACGUGCCAGCAGCCGCGGUAAUACGUAGGGGGCAAGCGUUAUCCGGAAUUACUGGGUGUAAAGGGAGCGUAGACGGCAAUGCAAGUCCGGAGUGGAAUGCGGCAGCUCAACUGCCGAACUGCUCUGGAAACUGUAUGGCUUGAGUGCAGGAGGG
rnacentral:rRNA from 1 species